GGAAAAACUAAUAUGUAGGAUAAGAAAUUCUAAAAAGCACACACUGGGUAGUUAAUUAUUUUAUAAUUAUGCUGGUACUAUGCCAAUCUUUUGAUACUUUGCAACGUCUUCAGUGGAAUGAUCAGAUGAUCCAAGCCUGGUAGAGUUAACAUAAUCCUGAGGACAAUGAGCAGGCAUGCCUGGGAAUAGCAAGCCAAUCACUCUCAUGCAUAAAAGAAGCCCGCCUUCCUGAUACUUUCGUCCGUGUACACAUGGUAGAAUACAGCUUCUGAUCAGCUCCCAAGCUGCGUUUAACAUCUUUGGUAUAAACAUUAACAGAAACGACCCAUUCUUGUCUGGUUCUUCAACUAAAAUUUUUUCUCUGUAGAGGCUAUUGUAAUAGAUGCAAGUUCCAAAGUGCUUGAACAAGAAAGUAGAAUUGUCAAAUGGCAAUCUUGGUACCAUGUCAUUGCUGUACACAACUCUGUAGUAUGGAACCUCAUGUUUUGUUAAUUGUCCAUUCAUAUAUUCAAUAAAACUUUCAUCUCCAACUCUUGGUUGACCAAAUGUGUAAAUGCCCCCUAAUCUUUUCAACAGCCAAGAUUCCUCAUGGAAUGCUAAUAUUGCUGGAAACGAAAUUGCAAGUGCUCCACCUAAGCUGUGACCGGUAACUAAAAACCUUGCCUUUUCAUUUUUCUCCAGAAGUUGUUUGAGCAAUUUUCUUAGGAAAUAGUACGCUGGAGGUGGCUGAUUAAUAUUAUUAGUAUCAGUUUGUACAAUAUUUUUGGGCCAUCCGAGGCUCUUUUGUAAGCCGAGAGCUUUCAUAAAUCCGGCAUGAACUUUGCCCAUGCCGGGAAUGUCAUACCAAGAGAGAUUAAAAUCGGAGAUCCAAUCAUCAGAAUUGAAGAAUUCAGUUCCUCUAAAUGCAACAAUAAUCAGCUCAGGGUCCACGCUUUUAUCUUGAAGCACGAAUGCUUGUGUUGUAGCUUUCUCUUGAUAAUCAUUCCAGAAGUCAAAUGAUCCCACCAGAUCCAUCUUCCAAUGAUGGUUGACAGUAGUUUCAACAUAUGCUUUGUUCUCAUAAGCUGCUUUUGCAGCCAUCAUGCUGAUUCCUUCAUCAUAUCUUCUACGUCCUCCAACAUUCUUACUAAAAUCCAGAUCAACUCUUUUAUCCAAAUUUCCAAUAAAUGACAAGUACGCAGCUGAUUCCUUAUCCGGUGAUACAGCUUUACAUAUUAAGGAUUUGAAAAGAAGACGGAAGAAUCCGCCAUUGACGUUUUGAAGGUUAAGCCAGUACUCAAUAGCAUUGCCCAAUCCAGCUAAAGGUUUAGCAGUUGCGAGUAAAAUCUUCUGGACUAGUAUAGAUAAAAAUAUAACCCAUCUACGUGACAAAGGCUCCUUAGUCAUUUCUUCAUUAGGGCAGUCGAUGAAGUCUUUUUGUCCCAAUUUUUUACCGGAAAGUAAAAGUUUUGCCAAAUCUAAUACGCUACAUUCUUCUGGCUUUAGCAACAUAUAGUUGCUGCAGAAAGAUUUGUUGCAA
rnacentral:misc_RNA from 1 species